GCCAGAGCGUCCCGCGCCGGGCCUCGCCCUCGUCCCUCGCGCCGAACCCCGGGGCCUGGGCAGCGGGAGGAGUAAAGGCAUGACUUCCUGGCACCUCAGGGAAAACAGGGUACAAGCCCAGAAACUAUUUCCCCACCACCACUUGUUGAAAAACUGA
rnacentral:lncRNA from 1 species